AUUGAACGCUGGCGGCAGGCUUAACACAUGCAAGUCGAGCGAGCGGCGGACGGGUGAGUAAUGUCUGGGGAUCUGCCCGAUAGAGGGGGAUAACUACUGGAAACGGUAGCUAAUACCGCAUACUAUCGGAUGAACCCAUAUGGGAUUAGCUAGUAGGUGAGGUAAGGGCUCACCUAGGCGACGAUCCCUAGCUGGUCUGAGAGGAUGAUCAGCCAAACUGGGACGGAGAAACGGCCCAGACUCCUACGGGGGGCAGCAGUGGGGAAGAUUGCACAAUGGGCGCAAGCCUGAUGCAGCCAUGCCGCGUGUAUGAAGAAGGCCUUCGGGUUGUAAAGUACUUUCAGCGAGGAGGCGUUACUCGCAGAAGAAGCACCGGCUAACUCCGUGCCAGCAGCCGCGGUAAUAC
rnacentral:rRNA from 1 species